rnacentral:rRNA from 1 species
AUUGAACGCUGGCGGCAUGCUUUACACAUGCAAGUCGAACGGUAACAGGCCGCAAGGUGCUGACGAGUGGCGAACGGGUGAGUAAUGCAUCGGAACGUGCCCAGUCGUGGGGGAUAACGCAGCGAAAGCUGUGCUAAUACCGCAUACGAUCUGUGGAUGAAAGCGGGGGACCGUAAGGCCUCGCGCGAUUGGAGCGGCCGAUGUCAGAUUAGGUAGUUGGUGGGGUAAAGGCCUACCAAGCCGACGAUCUGUAGCUGGUCUGAGAAGACGACCAGCCACACUGGGACUGAGACACGGCCCAGACUCCUACGGGAGGCAGCAGUGGGGAAUUUUGGACAAUGGGCGCAAGCCUGAUCCAGCAAUGCCGCGUGCAGGAAGAAGGCCUUCGGGUUGUAAACUGCUUUUGUACGGAACGAAACGGUCUGGGUUAAUACCCUGGGCUAAUGACGGUACCGUAAGAAUAAGCACCGGCUAACUACGUGCCAGCCGCCGCAGUAAGAC